UAGGGAAUCUUCCGCAAUGGACGCAAGUCUGACGGAGCAACGCCGCGUGAGUGAAGAAGGAUUUCGAUUCGUAAAACUCUGUUGUUAGAGAAGAACAGCGCAUAGAGUAACUGUUAUGCGUGUGACGGUAUCUAACCAGAAAGCCACGGCUAACUACGUGCCAGCAGCCGCGGUAAUACGUAGGUGGCAAGCGUUGUCCGGAUUUAUUGGGCGUAAAGCGAGCGCAGGCGGUCAAUUAAGUCUGAUGUGAAAGCCCCCGGCUCAACCGGGGAGGGUCAUUGGAAACUGGUUGACUUGAGUGCAGAAGAGGAGAGUGGAAUUCCAUGUGUAGCGGUGAAAUGCGUAGAUAUAUGGAGGAACACCGGUGGCGAAAGCGGCUCUCUGGUCUGUAACUGACGCUGAGGCUCGAAAGCGUGGGGAGCGAACAGG
rnacentral:rRNA from 1 species